UUAAAUUGAAGAGUUUGAUCAUGGCUCAGAUUGAACGCUGGCGGCAGGCCUAACACAUGCAAGUCGAACGGUAACAGGAAGAAGCUUGCUUCUUUGCUGACGAGUGGCGGACGGGUGAGUGAAUGUCUGGGAAACUGCCGUGAAUGGAGGGGAUAACUACUGGAAACGGUAGCUAAUAC
rnacentral:rRNA from 1 species